rnacentral:rRNA from 1 species
CUACUCCCCUGUUGCGUCUUGCCCUCCCACACGUCGGCCGCGGUCACCGUCCCGGCUCGAAGGAUAGGAACCGCGUGGGCCGGNGUCGACCUUAAUACAUGACAGUACCGAACGUAGUUCUGUAAUUUNUUAAGGUAAAGGCGUCGUUGCAUUCUGUAAUUUAAUUCUAGAACGAGUGGCGGAGGUGAUAACNGGUACGUACGCUACCUUAGUGGGGAUAACAUUUGGAAACAGAUGCUAAUACCGCAUAAAUCCAAGAACCGCAUGGUUCUUGGCUGAAAGAUGGCGUAAGCUAUCGCUUUUGGAUGGACCCGCGGCGUAUUAGCUAGUUGGUGAG